GACGAACGCUGGCGGCGUGCCUAAUACAUGCAAGUAGAACGCUGAAGGAGGAGCUUGCUUCUCUGGAUGAGUUGCGAACGGGUGAGUAACGCGUAGGUAACCUGCCUGGUAGCGGGGGAUAACUAUUGGAAACGAUAGCUAAUACCGCAUAAGAGUAGAUGUUGCAUGACAUUUGCUUAAAAGGUGCAAUUGCAUCACUACCAGAUGGACCUGCGUUGUAUUAGCUAGUUGGUGGGGUAACGGCUCACCAAGGCGACGAUACAUAGCCGACCGGAGAGGGGGAGCGGCCACACUGGGACUGGGACACGGCCCAGACUCCUACGGGAGGCAGCAGUAGGGAAUCUUCGGCAAUGGACGGAAGUCUGACCGAGCAACGCCGCGUGAGUGAAGAAGGUUUUCGGAUCGUAAAGCUCUGUUGUAAGAGAAGAACGAGUGUGAGAGUGGAAAGUUCACACUGUGACGGUAUCUUACCAGAAAGGGACGGCUAACUACGUG
rnacentral:rRNA from 1 species